GAUGAACGCUAGCGGCAGGCCUAACACAUGCAAGUCGAGGGGUAGAGUUCUUCGGGACUUGAGACCGGCGCACGGGUGCGUAACGCGUAUGCAAUCUACCUUAUACAGGGGAAUAGCCCAGAGAAAUUUGGAUUAAUGCCCCAUAGUGUUAUCGAAUCGCAUGGUUUGAUAACUAAAGUUCCAACGGUAUAAGAUGAGCAUGCGUCCCAUUAGUUAGUUGGUAAGGUAACGGCUUACCAAGACAAUGAUGGGUAGGGGUCCUGAGAGGGAGAUCCCCACACUGGUACUGAGACACGGACCAGACUCCUACGGGAGGCAGCAGUGAGGAAUAUUGGACAAUGGGCGUAAGCCUGAUCCAGCCAUGCCGCGUGCAGGAAGAAGCAUCUAAUGGUGUGUAAACUGCUUUUAUACAGGAAGAAACACUCCCUCGUGAGGGAGCUUGAC
rnacentral:rRNA from 1 species